rnacentral:lncRNA from 1 species
CAUGUCCAUGGCAUUCGGAAGUUCCUGGGCCAGGUAUCGAACCCAUACCACCACAGCAGUGACAACACUAGAUCCUUAACCCGCUGAGCCACCAGGAAAUUCCAAGAAAUUCAGAUUAUUCUUGACAUAAAUCUCAGUGUCUAAAACAAAGCAUACAUGGAAUGAUAAAUAACAGCAGAAUAGAGAUUACAAGGGUUCUAAUUUAUGUAAAUACAAAAUAAAUAUUUCCCAUAACUAAAUUACUCAACUUUGUAAAAGACCAGCUUUUGAGAAACAUUCUUCUUUCACAUAUUCAGAUUGGGGAACCUGUUUUAUCAGCCAACUUGUUUUGUAAAAUUAUGUGCUCACCUUCUGUACAAACAGUCAAACCACUAAGAAUGUUGAGCAGUGUCGAUUUUACCAGCUCCACCAUGUCCAAGUAUUGCAGGGACCUGUCCUUCACAUAUGUCAAGAAACGCGCCUGUUUUGGAAUAAAACGUGAGUAUUAGGUGUUGGACUACAUUCAGAUGAACAAGGCCUUUAAAAACCUGAAGGAGCAAAAUGAAUCUCAGCACUUCACCUCAUUCGUAGCUUAGUAUGUCCCUCUACAAUUACGCGCAUCUGAUUGUGUCUGUUUAUGAAGACAAAGCACCAAUGCAUCUGAAGAGAUUGGUUCAAGCCUGGGAGUGUAAACCUCUACUUUCCUCACUACCCCAAUCCUUCGAAGGUCACAGAAUAUAUACCUUUACUUGUAAGGAAUACAGCCAAAGCUCUGAGGGAUGAAAACAGAGUAAACAGAGGAUUUGUCUCCUGGACAAAGGAAAGUCUCUAUUUCCAUUAAGAAACAGCCUCACUGAGGGGCCCAGAGCUGGGGACGGAAGGGCCAGGUAUGAAAGGAAAGGGGUAGUUUAUUCCGCAUGAGGAAGGAAGGAAGGAAGAUCGGUGAGGAGAGGAGGGUAAAGCUUCCCCGGGCACUGGGCAGCGUGGUGCCACAUCACAAAAGUGUGGGCACGCUCUCUGCAGAGGUCCGCUGGAACCCAAGGCGUGUCACAGACUUUUUAAUAUAUGCAUGCUUAGGAUUUGACAAUUUUCCCUUGAGAUUCGAAAAAUCAUCUAACUCCCUUGGGAAACAAAAGAGUUCCAUUAGUACCCCCAAAAUAUUUAAGAAAUUUUCCGAAGAUAUAAAACAUACAGGAUUGCACUGGGAGAGAACUAAAAAUAAGAGAAUCCACAGCCCAACAAAGAUGAUGAAAAGUCCUAAGAAAGUAGAAACGAUUCCAGUGAUACUCCAAGCUCAGUUUGACAAAUCCAUGGCAAAGAUUAUAAACCAGUAUUUUUAACCCUAUUUUUCAAUAACUCUAUUUUAAAAUGUUUUUUAUAUAUGCAUAGAAAAUACGUUUUGGUUUUUUUUUGUUUUUUUGUCUUUUGUCUUUUUGUCUUUUCUAGGGCUGCACCUGUAGCAUACGGAAGGUUCCCAGGUUCAAAUGGAGCUGUAACCACCGGCCUACACCACGGCUCACGGCAACGCCGGAUCCUUAACCCACUGAGCGAGGCCAGGGAUUGAACCCGCGUCCUCAUGGAUGCUAGCCGGGUUCGUCAACCGCUGAGCCAUGACGGGAACUCUGAAAAUAUGUAUUAUUAAUAACUAUACCUCAUAGUAGAAACUUAAAUUUUUUUUCUUUUUAAUCCACAUUCAUUCUCUAACUUUCUCCUAUGACUGUUUGUAUUUUUAGGAAACAAAAUUUUUUUUUAGUUAAAAACAUCAAAACAA